AAGCUGGGGGGCUAUUUCAAAAGAAACAUGAUGACGGCCCUAUAUUAUUUCCCCAGCUCUUGCUUCUCAUCGGACACUUUUAAGUGGUGCAAAGAGUCAUGGCGUCCGGAGUGUGGGGGAUCUAUUUUAUGUUGGGACUUUCCGCGGGCACUGACUUUUCGCCCUCAGGGGGCGCCCGUGAGGCUUCCCACUUUCCUCAGCGGAUUGCUGCCCCUGUUCUGGGCGACCACGACCCUCCUCUAGCCUUCUUGUUUCUGCCUUGGAGGAUGUUCCUGCUGCCCAGCUUGCUGGGGCUGGAGCUCUCUCAGCUACUGCAAUUGGCUUCUAGGAUCCCUCCCCAUCAUCAUGGACUAAUGGCCUUUGCCAUCCAGUGGAGGGACUAUAGACAAAAUGGCUGUAGCCUUAGCAGCCAUUUUGUGCCAAGAGGCAAUAUGUUAAUAAUGACACGGCAUACCGGAAGACAGACAGCAAGAGCCUGUGUCCCUGAUGA